GCAAGUCGAGGGGCAACAGGAAAGUUCGGUCUUGGUGGCGACCGGCGCACGGGUGCGUAACGCGUAUGCAACCUACCUUAUACAGGGGGAUAGCCCAGAGAAAUUUGGAUUAAUACCCCAUAGUACCAUUUGAUGGCAUCUGAAGAUGGUUAAAGAUUUAUCGGUAUAAGAUGGGCAUGCGUAAGAUUAGCUAGUUGGUGAGGUAAUGGCUCACCAAGGCGACGAUCUUUAGGGGUUCUGAGAGGAUGAUC
rnacentral:rRNA from 1 species